rnacentral:rRNA from 1 species
AACGCGAAGAACCUUACCAAGGCUUGACAUACACGAGAACGGGCCAGAAAUGGUCAACUCUUUGGACACUCGUGAACAGGUGGUGCAUGGUUGUCGUCAGCUCGUGUCGUGAGAUGUUGGGUUAAGUCCCGCAACGAGCGCAACCCUCGUUCUAUGUUGCCAGCGCGUAAUGGCGGGAACUCAUAGGAGACUGCCGGGGUCAACUCGGAGGAAGGUGGGGAUGACGUCAAAUCAUCAUGCCCCUUAUGUCUUGGGCUUCACGCAUGCUACAAUGGCCGGUACAAAGGGCUGCAAUACCGUAAGGUGGAGCGAAUCCCAAAAAGCCGGUCUCAGUUCGGAUUGAGGUCUGCAACUCGACCUCAUGAAGUCGGAGUCGCUAGUAAUCGCAGAUCAGCA